AGCCAUGUGAUAAGCACAAAGCGAACUAUUCUUUCGCCUUUUACUAAAGAAUGCCGUGUGCUCGUCACUUAGCAAUGAUAUUGAAAUAAAAAGUAAUGAAUAUUAUAAUUUUUUUAAUU